rnacentral:rRNA from 1 species
CAGCCGCCGCGGUAAUACCGGCGGCCCGAGUGGCGGCUACUAUUAUUGGGCCUAAAGCGUCCGUAGCCGGGCUGGGAAGUCCUCCGGGAAAUCUGGUCGCUUAACGAUCAGACUUCCGGAGGAUACUGCUGGCCUAGGGACCGGGAGAGGCCGAGGGUAUUCCCGGGGUAGGGGUGAAAUCCUGUAAUCCCGGGAGGACCACCUGUGGCGAAGGCGCUCGGCUGGAACGGGUCCGACGGUGAGGGACGAAGGCCAGGGGAGCGAACCGGAUUAGAUACCCGGGUAGUCCUGGCGGUAAACGAUGCGGACUAGGUGUCGGGCAAGCUAAGGGCUUGUCCGGUGCCGCAGGGAAGCCGUUAAGUCCGCCGCCUGGGGAGUACGGCCGCAAGGUUGAAACUUAAAGGAAUUGGCGGG